ACGAACGCUGGCGGCGUGCUUAACACAUGCAAGUCGAACGGAAAGGCCCUGCUUUUGUGGGGUGCUCGAGUGGCGAACGGGUGAGUAACACGUGAGUAACCUGCCCUUGACUUUGGGAUAACUUCAGGAAACUGGGGCUAAUACCGGAUAGGAGCUCCUGCUGCAUGGUGGGGGUUGGAAAGUUUCGGCGGUUGGGGAUGGACUCGCGGCUUAUCAGCUUGUUGGUGGGGUAGUGGCUUACCAAGGCUUUGACGGGUAGCCGGCCUGAGAGGGUGACCGGCCACAUUGGGACUGAGAUACGGCCCAGACUCCUACGGGAGGCAGCAGUGGGGAAUAUUGCACAAUGGGCGGAAGCCUGAUGCAGCAACGCCGCGUGCGGGAUGACGGCCUUCGGGUUGUAAACCGCUUUCGCCUGUGACGAAGCGUCAGUGACGGUAAUGGGUAAAGAAGCACCGGCUAACUACGUG
rnacentral:rRNA from 1 species